rnacentral:rRNA from 1 species
AUUGAACGCUGGCGGCAUGCUUUACACAUGCAAGUCGAACGGCAGCGCGGGCUUCGGCCUGGCGGCGAGUGGCGAACGGGUGAGUAAUGCAUCGGAACGUGCCCAGUAGUGGGGGAUAGCGCGGCGAAAGCCGGGUUAAUACCGCAUACGACCUGAGGGUGAAAGCGGGGGACCGAAAGGCCUCGCGCUAUUGGAGCGGCCGAUGUCGGAUUAGCUAGUUGGUGGGGUAAAGGCUUACCAAGGCGACGAUCCGUAGCUGGUCUGAGAGGACGACCAGCCACACUGGGACUGAGACACGGCCCAGACUCCUACGGGAGGCAGCAGUGGGGAAUUUUGGACAAUGGGGGAAAGCCUGAUCCAGCCAUGCCGCGUGCGUGAAGAAGGUCUUCGGGUUGUAAACCGCUUUUGUUCGGGAAGAAAUGCUCUGGGCUAAUACCUCGGGGGGAUGACGGUACCGGAAGAAUAAGCACCGGCUAACUACGUG